AUACGGGAGGCAGCAGUGGGGAAUAUUGCGCAAUGGGCGAAAGCCUGACGCAGCGACGCCGCGUGGGGGAUGAAGGCCUUCGGGUUGUAAACCCCUUUCAGCAGGGACGAAGCGAGAGUGACGGUACCUGCAGAAGAAGCGCCGGCUAACUACGUGCCAGCAGCCGCGGUAACACGUAGGGCGCAAGCGUUGUCCGGAAUUAUUGGGCGUAAAGAGCUCGUAGGUGGUUUGUUACGUCCGCUGUGAAAACCUAGGGCUUAACCCUGGGCUUGCAGUGGAUACGGGCAGACUAGAGGUAGGUAGGGGAGAAUGGAAUUCCUGGUGUAGCGGUGAAAUGCGCAGAUAUCAGGAGGAACACCGGUGGCGAAGGCGGUUCUCUGGGCCUUACCUGACACUGAGGAGCGAAAGCGUGGGGAGCGAACAGGAUUAGAUACCCUUGUAGUCC
rnacentral:rRNA from 1 species